rnacentral:rRNA from 1 species
GAUGAACGCUAGCGGCAGGCUUAAUACAUGCAAGUCGUGGGGCAGCAGGUCCGUAGCAAUACGGAUGCUGGCGACCGGCAAACGGGUGCGGAACACGUACGCAACCUUCCUUUAAGUGGGGAAUAGCCCGGGGAAACCCGGAUUAAUACCCCGUAAUAUUAUGAAGUGGCAUCACUUUAUAAUUAUAGCUCCGGCGCUUGAAGAUGGGCGUGCGCCUGAUUAGGUAGUUGGCGGGGAACGGCCCACCAAGCCUACGAUCAGUAACUGGUGUGAGAGCACGACCAGUCACACGGGCACUGAGACACGGGCCCGACUCCUACGGGAGGCAGCAGUAAGGAAUAUUGGGCAAUGGACGCAAGUCUGACCCAGCCAUGCCGCGUGGAGGAUGAAGGUCCUCUGGAUUGUAAACUUUCUUUUAAUCUGGGAACGAAAAAGGGUAAUUCUUUCUCGUCUGACGGUACCAGAUGAAUAAGCACCGGCUAACUCGU